rnacentral:rRNA from 1 species
UACGUAGGGUCCGAGCGUUGUCCGGAAUUAUUGGGCGUAAAGAGCUCGUAGGCGGCUCGUCGCGUCGACUGUGAAAACUCGGGGCUUAACCCUGGGCCUGCAGUCGAUACGGGCGGGCUAGAGUUCGGUAGGGGAGACUGGAAUUCCUGGUGUAGCGGUGAAAUGCGCAGAUAUCAGGAGGAACACCGGUGGCGAAGGCGGGUCUCUGGGCCGAUACUGACGCUGAGGAGCGAAAGCGUGGGGAGCAAACAGG